rnacentral:lncRNA from 1 species
CNGUCCAGUGCCUGGCAGAGCUAAGGGGGCUUCAAUCCUUACUCUUUAUCCCCAUCUUCGCCCAGGCUUAACGGGGCCUUACUUAUUCAGGGGGGAGAGUGGAGCCUCGAAAAGCACUGUUGAGAGGAAGAUCCUUGGCCCCUCUUCAUUCUCUACAGGGUUCCAAACCUUUCUUCAACAUAGGUGACAACGAGCCAGGCAGAGAUGGAAGAGAUCAAACACGGGAAUAAGAAGCAAGCUCGCCUUCCUUUUUGAUCAUUUUGAUAGAGGGGGAUGAAGAAAGUGGACAAAACAGACUCGCAUUUCUCAUCGAACAAAUACAGGAAAAGAAUCAUAUUGAAAACGCUCCUAACCCAACCCCUUCCUUCGUAGAGCCCGUGUAUUGUAAGUGAUCCGAACCUGCCCGGAGC